rnacentral:lncRNA from 1 species
GGAAUGAGCAAAGGAAAAAGUCCCUCGAAGCACACAGCAUCCUGAGUGAGUGACUCACGAAGUCCCAAAGACAGCAUUGACCCACUGAUCCUUUAUCUGCUCUGUCAAACCAGCCCCUCACUGACCCUGCACACCUGUCAUCCAGCAAGCUCUGGGGACCACCCUGUAAACAGCAUCCUAACUAGUCACCUGACUCAUCCUCUGUUCUGCAAACCUGGGGAUCUGAGGGCACCAGCAGCAUUCACACAAAGUGGUGAGCCUGGGCUCUGCUCUCAGGAGCUGCAAGUCUCAGGUGCCUUCACCUCCCUUCAUCUGCACUGCCCUCACUGCAGUGAGUAGACCAGACCGGCCUCGGCCCCGCCCACUCGGAUCCCUGCGGGCUCCGCCCCCCGCUGCUCUCUUCCUUCCCCUCUAUCCUUCCAUCCUCUCUUCACCUUCUGGCAUUUUCCACUCAGACAUUGACCUUUGCGUUGACACAGUCAGUCAAUAUGUGAAACCCUUGCUUUUCUCAACCUAAAAUAAAUCCAUAAUUAAUUCAUUAA